UACGUAGGGGGCAAGGCGUUGUCCGGAAUUAUUGGGCGUAAAGAGCGUGUAGGCGGUCCGGUAAGUCAGCUGUGAAAGUCAAGGGCUCAACCCUUGAAUGCCGGUUGAUACUGUCGGGCUAGAGUCCGGAAGAGGCGAGUGGAAUUCCUGGUGUAGCGGUGAAAUGCGCAGAUAUCAGGAGGAACACCAAUGGCGAAGGCGGCAUCCUGGACCGGUAUUGACGCUGAGGCGCGAAAGCCAGGGGAGCAAACGGG
rnacentral:rRNA from 1 species